CGUGUCGUGAAAUGUUGGGUUAAGUCCCGCAACGAGCGCAACCCUUGUCCUUAGUUCCCACCAUUCAGUUGGGCACUCUAAGGAGACUGCCGGUGACAAACCGGAGGAAGGUGGGGAUGACGUCAAUUCAUCAUGCCCCUUAUGAGUUGGGCUACACACGUGCUACAAUGGACGGUACAAAGGGCAGCGAAUCCGCGAGGUGGAGCCAAUCCCAGAAACCCGUUCUCAGUUCGGAUUGCAGGCUGCAACUCGCCUUCAUGAAGUCGGAAUCGCUAGUAAUCGCAGGUCAGCAUACUGCGGUGAAUACGUUCCCGGGUCUUGUACACACCGCCCGUCACACCACGAGAGUUUGUAACACCCGAAGUCGGAGAGUAACUCUAGGG
rnacentral:rRNA from 1 species